UGAGACGAUAAGAAGCGGGUCCACCUUUAAUUCCCGUCCGGGUCCUGAUUCUUGUCCCCUUUAUUACGGAAGGGUUUUCUGAAAUCAGCUGGCUCAGUCUGUGCAGGAGCAGAGCAUUCCCUCAGAUCUUCACGCAUCAAGCAGACGGGAACUCGGAGAUCAGAUCUCCAACUCCGAACCAAACCCGCAGCAGAAAUUUGGAGGCGAAACAAACGCUUCUCUGCGCGUAAAGCCGUUCAUGUGCACCGGAUCGGUCCGGCUCCGAUUCCGUCUUCCGGCCUCUCUGCGGACCUCCAAGAUGACUCGAACCAGCUGCUUAGAUUCCACAGCGAACUCCGUCCUGAGAGGAACCACAGCCGAAGGCUCGCGCGCAGGUCUCCUGUCCGGGUCCGAGCGCACGGGAAGCGCUUGUCUGGGUCUAAAUGGAGGCGAACCAAGUCAGCAGCGUAGUGGCUCCUGCUGCCAUGCUCUCUCACGGACUAACCCCCCCAUACGGUGUCAGCCGCGGCACGCUGGAGAAAAUGUCCUCGUGGACAGCUGCGUUCCCGGAAACUUGAAUCUGCAGGUGGGGAGCAGAGGGAACUACAGCUGCAGACGAUUCUCUAAUCAGGAAGGCGGGUUUAAAAGAAGGACGGAGACACCAUUUUGCCGGAUGAUUGUACCAGUUCAGGUAGCACCAGCCACUCGCCUUGAAACUUAACUCGUGUUUUGACUCGCCUUCGACUUUGGAUUAUUGACCUUGGAUUUUCGGAUUUGGAUUAUCCCUUACACCUGUUUGUCUCGCUCAGGAUCACCUCGUCAUCUCCUCACCCUCACUGUCUUCACUUCUGGAUCAUUCAACACGUCUCGUCCUCCUCCGUCGUUCCUGCUCGGAUUUCCCUCUGCUGCCUCACUCCGAAAUCUCUCACCCUCUGCUCAGCGUCCUUCCUGGCUUCCCUUCCACUCAUCAUUCUACCUGAACCCCUCAAAGACUCGAGCCGUCUUGGCUCCUCAGCACAGGACUUCCCUGUUGCAGUUUUCAGUUACCGUUUAUAAUAAAGACAUUUUUACUUUACUACUUUGGACUUGUGUGAUGAUUCUGCAUGUCUUGGGUUAGGCACUUACCUCGAGCCAUGACAAUUUCACCAGCUUUCGAAAACUGCGUGUCACCAGCGUGCCUUCAGCAGAGACGGAGAACAGAUCACGUCAAAACUCAAAGGACUGAAGAAGUUUAACUUUUCACUGUUUCUUUUUACAUGCAGGUGCAGCCAGGUAACCUGAAAAAUAAAUCCUGUUCAGAUGUGGCUGAUCACCUGAAGCCUUUUCAAGAGUCUGGCUUGUUUUCAACACCUGAAAUGCAGCUUCAUCACAGCCGUUAUGGACCUUCUUUUGGAACCUGGACAAUCGAAGCCUGCAUUGCCAUUAACCUGCUUUAUUCCCCCAAAACUGUUUGAGUUGCAAUAGAAAACAUCCACAAAAGUCUUGUGCAUUUGAAGGUUUAUUGUUCUAAUGAAACCAUGAUGCUUUCUUGGAUUAACUGAGCAUUUUGUGGCCCUUUUGUAAAAAGGGCUUCUGUUGAAUCUGGUCAACUGAACCUGCCCACCCAAAACACUUUAUGACUGACUUUGUGAAGACUUCAGAUAAGCACACAAGUUGUGAAUGCAACAUAAGCUAUAAUGGCUGCAAACAGUGAUUUAAAAAAAUGACGUUUUAAAGUUGCCUGUAUGCUCUCAUUUAUCCUGCAUGUAGCCUCUGACUGAAGACACUCUUGUUGAGUAGUCUUGUGUCUCUGGUUUUUCUCUAGCUGCCUCUUUACCUGUGUGGCAAGGUGGAGAAACGAGGGCCUGGGCGAGAUUCGAUUCCCAGACUCCCGGGUGAGAGUCAUACGCUCUAACCAGUCAGCCAAAGGGACAUCCCCGUGGCCAAAUAGCCAGGGCGCAUGAUCAAUCAGGACAUUGUGACAGGACGCUCACACUGUCACACCUGACUGCUAAAAAAACAGGCAAGAGGGGGAGAUGAGGGGAGCAGCAGCAUCUCCUAAAGUGAUUCACAGAACAAAGGCGAACGUUCACAAGUGAUUUAAGCCGGGCGUACACUGUGCGACUUUUUCACUCGUAGCACUCAGCUUUAGCUCAAACUGUACGACUUUCUCGCAGAGCAAAUCUCACGAGUCAUGCGCUCACACUGUACGACCCAGUUCUCGGAUGCGACCUGACUGCUCACACUGUAGUCUGGUAGCAACACGUCUGCUAAAAAUAGCACUUUUCACUCAACACGUCAGGCUUUUUGUCUUGUUUUGCCUGUUGUCCUUCGGGAGUGCUGCAGGAGGACACACAGGGAUUUAUGGGGGUUGGAUGAGGAAAACAAAAUAAAGAAAGUAAAUCUGUGUUUUAUGAUCAGUUUAAUUUGACAUGAACACGACAAACACGCUUUCUUGACAAUCUUUGUGAGUAAAAAAAAAACGUGUAGAAACAAAAACGAACAGCGUGUGUUAUUAGGGAAACAGCGGGCGAGCGGAGUUGAUGCAGGAUUGCGCAUGCGCCGUGAGCGGUUCUGAUACUUUUUGGGUCGCAGCUGCUCGCAGCACCGCUUCAACAGUGCUAUACCCUCACGUGGGACGUGCAAAAUAUUAAACACGCCAGAAGUCCGUGCGAGCGCACGAUUGCUGAUCGGUAGCUGGUCACGUGGUGUUAAUCGCCUCUCGUAACCCCCUGUACACUACACGACGCUCGGCGCAAAACUCGCCCCGAUGUCGUGGAUUCUCGCACGAGUGGAAAAUAGGCUCAAAAAAGUGAAAAAGUCGCACAGUGUAUGCUCGGCUUAAGAAUGCUACGUGAAAACAACGGUACCAAAUGGCGGAUCUCUGGUAGAGCGAGGGGGGGGCGGAGCCAAUUGGCAGCUCUCUGGGAGUUCUAGAGUUAAUCAUCCCAAAACAGUUUACCUUCUCUAGCCUUGCCACCAGAAAGAGUAAGCCAAAUAAUUCCUCCCUCCUUAUGUGCUGUAAAAUUAUUCUUGUUCUGUUUCAUGAAAUAAUUUUUUUCACUCUACAGGUUGUUUAAAAUUAUAUUCUGUUUCAUCUAAGGUGAUUUCAGUGGUCUCCUUCAAAAAGCGGAGAACUCACCUGUUCAAGCUAGAUUUUCGUGACCUUCGUUACCACCCUUUCCUUAUUUUGCUCUUAUUUUGCUUUCCCGGGAUUCACCGAUUUCUGUCUUUCCCAUUAAAUUUUUCUCUCCCUUUCUUUUGUAGUGCGAUGUCUAUCACUACCAGUGUCUAUGUGGUUGGAGUUCAAGACCUUCAAUAAAAAAGGGAAGUGCGGGUUCCUCCUCCCAUGUUUGUGUGCGUGUGUGAGGCUGCAGGUGGCGUCGCGGGGCGCUGUGAGCUUGUUCAUGCACUGGGAGAGCUGAGGACAUGUGCACGUGUUCUGUACAAUCGUGUCCUUAUUUCACGAACUUAGUUUAAGUUAAAACGGCAGCUUCCAGUGUGAGCAGAAGAGGAUGUCCACUCCUGCUGAGGCGUCGGGAGCGACCGACCAGAGACGGAGAGAUGCACCUGCUGGCACGAGUACAACAGGUUAUGGGCCCAGGCAUGCCCAGCAGCACACCCAAGUAUAUGGACGCGGCCCGCCGCCCCGCUUCGACGGAGAUGAAGCGAGGUACCAUAUAUGAGAAGCGAGGUUUUUGGCCUAUAUGAAGACGUUAGGCCUAAAGGACACAAUACUCGGAAAGGACCGAGCGGCACCGAACACACCAGAGACUGUGGAAGUCGGUAAGAGGAACGAGCUAGCAUAUGCUGAACUCUGCUGUUGUCUAGACGACAAAAAGCUAAUGCUAAUACUAUAUGAAGCUCCAGACAACGGAGAGAAAAGUCUAGAGAUAUUAAGACGUCACUUUGAGUCCGAGGAAAAACCGCGCAUCGUGGGACUCUACACAGAGCUGACUAACGUGGUGAUGGCACCUGGUGAGGAGCUGGUGGACUAUUUGACACGUGUGGAGAAAAUUAUCGCGGCAUUAAACAGAGCAAAAGAGACGCUAAGCGCGACGCACUCUUGGUGGCAAUGGUGUUAAAAGGCCUGACGGAAGAAUAUGACCCGUUCACAGUGCAUGUAACACAGACGAGAGACUCGCUCACGUUUAAUGAGUUCAAGGCCCGGCUGAGAAGUUUCGAAUGCACGUUACGCUACCGGAACAGACCUCGUGCAGAUGAAGUGAUGGAGACAAAGCACAAAAAUGUUCAGCCCAAAGAGAAAAUAAAACAAGGAAACAUUUUGAUGGAGAAUGUUUUAUCUGUGAGAAGGUUGGUCACAGAGCAAGAGACUGCAGAUUAAAGAAGAAGAGUAACUGGAAACAGUCCAGCACUGUGACGCGGGACAACAGCGAGACCUCUACUGUUACAGAGACUGCACAGGGGAACAGAUCUCCAGAAACAGGUCACAGGAGUGAAGCUAAAGAAAAUAGCUCUUUUCUACUCAAAGUAAAUGAGUACAAACCUAAAGACACAACGCAGAGAGGACUCCUGAUUGACAGCGGUGCUUCCACUCACAUCAUCACAGAUGAAAAAGCUUUCAUCCGGUUCGACAAGGCGUUCCAGCAGAAGAGGCACGUGAUGGAGAUGGCAGACGGCACGAGGCACACUGGCAGUGUUACAGCGCGGGGAGACGCUCAGCUGGAGGUGACUGACGACACGGGAAAAGUUCUGAAGAUAAUACUGACCAGUGCUCUACUGAUUCCUGAGUAUCCACAAGACAUUUUGUCUGUGGAGGCAGCAGUGUCAAAUUGUUGUUUGCCAAGUGCCAUAAGACCACAAAUAAUAAGAAGAAGAGAGGCAGGAGCGUUCGUAACAAACUCAAAGCGAUAGUCAAAACAUUAAGCAUGAAAUGGAGUUAUCCUAGUGGCUCCAAUAAGAGAAAGAAGCAGCAUGCUUCAUAAAAGCUUUUAUUUUCACUGAAAGUGACGUCGUUUUUCGCUGUAAACAUCAAAAGGAAACAGAAAGGAAAGACAAUGGAAAAUGUUUCAAGGGAGGAAAACAUGGACCAAAAUGGAAAAUAGAAAAAAAAACUAAGGCUAAAGCACAGGAGCACUGACAGGAAGAAGAAAGCAGAGCAAAUAUUGAAGGCACUAAAAGGGAGAGAAAUACAGGAAAAAAGAGGAGGUCUAAUAAAAAGUGAAAAUAACUCAUGUCAGAAGAGAGGAGAGUUUUGCAAAUCCAGUUAAAGGUCAGAUUGUCA
ensembl:lncRNA